rnacentral:piRNA from 1 species
UNCAGAUAAUGGUGCCCUUACUUCUAAUGA